rnacentral:rRNA from 1 species
GAUGAACGCUGGCGGCGUGCUUAACACAUGCAAGUCGAACGAAGCACUUUAUUUGAUUUCCUUCGGGACUGAUUAUUUUGUGACUGAGUGGCGGACGGGUGAGUAACGCGUGGGUAACCUGCCUUGUACAGGGGGAUAACAGUUGGAAACGGCUGCUAAUACCGCAUAAGCGCACGGCAUCGCAUGAUGCAGUGUGAAAAACUCCGGUGGUAUAAGAUGGACCCGCGUUGGAUUAGCUAGUUGGUGAGGUAACGGCCCACCAAGGCGACGAUCCAUAGCCGAGAUGAGAGGGUGACCGGCCACAUUUGGACUGAGCCACGGCACGAACUCCUACGGGAGGCAGCAGUGGGGAAUAGUGCAAAAUGGGCGAAAGCCUGAUGCAGCGACGCCGCGUGAGCGAAGAAGUAUUGCGGUAUGUAAAGCUCUAUCAGCAGGGAAGAUAAUGACGGUACCUGACCAAGAAGCACCGGCUAAAUACGUG